GCGCAGCAGUCGCGAAUCUUCGGCAAUGGGGGAAACCCUGACCGAGCGACGCCGCGUGUGGGAUGAAGGCCCUUGGGUUGUAAACCACUGUCAGAGGGGAUGAAAUGCCGGAAAGUUAUCUCUCCGGUUUGACAUAGCCUCAGAGGAAGCACGGGCUAAGUUCGUGCCAGCAGCCGCGGUAAGACGAACUGUGCAAACGUUAUUCGGAAUCACUGGGCUUGAAGAGUGCGUAGGCGGUUUCGUAAGUAGGGUGUGAAAGCCCCCGGCUCAACCGGGGAAUUGCGUCCUAAACUGCGAGGCUGGAGUGAGGUAGGGGUGUGUGGAACUUCCAGUGGAGCGGUGAAAUGUGUUGAUAUUGGAAGGAACGCCGGUGGCGAAAGCGACACACUGGACCUUGUCUGACGCUGAGGCACGAAAGCCAGGGGAGCAAACGGGAUUAGAUACCCGUGUAGU
rnacentral:rRNA from 1 species